GAUGAAGAACGUAGCGAAAUGCGAUAAGUAAUGUGAAUUGCAGAAUUCAGUGAAUCAUCGAAUCUUUGAACGCACAUUGCGCCCGCCAGUAUUCUGGCGGGCAUGCCUGUUCGAGCGUCAUUUCAACCAUCAAGCCCUGCUUGCGUUGGGGUCCUGCGGCUGCCCGCAGGCCCUGAAAACCAGUGGCGGGCUCGCUAGUCACACCGAGCGCAGUAAUACAUCUCGCUUUGGGCGUGCGGCGGGUUCUUGCCGUUAAACACCCCCUUUUACCAAGGUUGACCUCGGAUCAGGUAGGAAUACCCGCUGAACUUAAGCAUAUCAAUAAGCGGAGGA
rnacentral:misc_RNA from 1 species